rnacentral:rRNA from 1 species
CAGUAGCCGCGGGAAAACGUAGGGUGCAAGCGUUAAUCGGAAUUACUGGGCGUAAAGCGUGCGCAGGCGGUGUUGUAAGACUGAUGUGAAAUCCCCGGGCUCAACCUGGGAACUGCAUUGGUGACUGCAACGCUGGAGUGCGGCAGAGGGGGAUGGAAUUCCGCGUGUAGCAGUGAAAUGCGUAGAUAUGCGGAGGAACACCGAUGGCGAAGGCAAUCCCCUGGGCCUGCACUGACGCUCAUGCAUGAAAGCGUGGGGAGCAAACAGGAUUAGAUACCCGCGUAGUCCCUGUCUCUUAUAC